CAGCCGCCGCGGUAAUACGUAGGGUGCGAGCGUUAAUCGGAUUUACUGGGCGUAAAGCGUGCGCAGGCGGCCCGUUAAGACAGGUGUGAAAUCCCUGGGCUCAACCUAGGAAUUGCGCUUGUGACUGGCGGGCUCGAGUACGGUAGAGGGGGGUGGAAUUCCUGGUGUAGCAGUGAAAUGCGUAGAGAUCAGGAGGAACACCGAUGGCGAAGGCAGCCCCCUGGGCUUGUACUGACGCUCAUGCACGAAAGCGUGGGGAGCAAACAGGAUUAGAUACCCUGGUAGUCCACGCCCUAAACGAUGGGUACUAGCCGUUUGGUGCGCGAUAGCGCUGAGUGGCGAAGCUAACGCGUGAAGUACCCCGCCUGGGGAGUACGGCCGCAAGGUUGAAACUUAAAGGAAUUGGCGGG
rnacentral:rRNA from 1 species